GGCUCUCCUGUGGAGGAAGAGAAGGUCAGGGGUUAUGGGCCUCUGAAAACCAUCUUUCUGCCCACCUUGGGCUCGCUUAGUCCCUAGCCCCGGGGGACAAUCGUGCAAUAACUUCGCACAUUUUCUCUGCUCAUCCUUCAUCGACACUGUGCUCAAACCUCCUGAACGCGGGUGGGUGUCCAAAGUGGUCAAUACCCAGCUAUAACCUCCUUUUAGUUUCUCACCUGUAUCUCUUUUCCCUGUCAACCUGAUGCUGAGAUUGGGAACUGAUAGGCGACCAGAGGGAGAGAGUCCUGGGGGCUGCAGAGCCCCCACCUCUGUUUCUUCAAGGCUACCACUGGACAGCUGUCCCCAUUCCCCCAUCCUAGGAGUGCCCGUGAGCAGGGACGACAGUCAGUGUGGAAGGACAGCUGGUCCUGUGGUAGGUGUGAGACCCGAGCGUGAGAAGGGCCAGAAGAGGAGGUAUUCAGGCCUGCCUCCUUGGAUUCUCUCCUUCCUCUGUGCACAGGAGUGUGGAGCCCUGUGUAGGAGCUGAGAGAGUGCCGAGAACGUGACCACUCUCAUGGUCUUGGCCAAGUUCAGAGACAAUCACAUCACAAAGGAGACUCAGUCCCAGUCUUUUGAGAAGUGUGAACAGAAAAGAGACGAACACGGAUGCGUGCUGGAGGCAGCAGCCUUAGGGUGAGGGGACAGGAGAGUAGACCAGGGAGGGCAGCACCUGAGCCUUACAGGGUGUGGCUUUCUCCUGCAGGCAGAGAUGGGGAUGAGCCUCUGGGAGGAGCAGGUGGCAGAGUGAAAGCACAGACCUGGCAACUGUGGGGCUUGGCUGGGAAGCUGAUCCUUUCUCCAGGAACAUAGUGUGUCUAAGGCGAUAGAGGAAGCUGGGUCUCCCCUCUGGAUGCUCCAGUGGGACCAGGGAAAGGUUUCAAGCAGCCUUGACAAGACUAGAGUCACUUUCCAGCACCCCCUCCCCCACCAGUGCCCCUUCAACUGCCUCCCCUGAGUGCCUCUUCCAUCGGACCUGCUGCUUUCCCCCACACCCCGAGGAGCUGUGAAGUUUCAGGGACAAGGAGGAGAGAGCUGAGGAAGCACAAACUUCUUGUAAUGGAACCACCAUCGAGGGACAGUAUAGAUACUCAAGGUCAGGUUGGCUGAUUCCCGGACAUUCCAGGAACCCAGGAACCGACUGGCACAGAGGAAGGUAACGAUCACGUGGGGUCGAUGACUGCAUCUGUUUCUCCCUUUCUCCUGGCUCCUUGUCACCAGUGCCCAAUGUACCUUCCAGCUGUCAGCCAGCUACCUUCACCGCUUGACUGAAGCUCUGGUCACGGUCACCUUGACCUCCAGCUCGCCAGAUCCACUACUCACUUUUCUGUCUUCUUGACUUUUCAGCAACAUUUGUCAAAGUUGGUGCUUCCCUCUUGAAACACUCUCCUGCCUGCGCUCCCAGAACAAGGUCCUCUUCUUUUCUCCUUCCUGCCUUCCCCACCCCCUCCUCCUCUGUCACUGGAGUCCAAAGUUGGAAUGAGGGUCCAGGGGCCUGGUGGUUGGUCCACACUCUUUGGCAACUACUCUUCUCUAGGAGGCCUCACUCAGUCCAUGGCCUCAAAUACCCCCGCCCAUUAACAACUCCCACAUUUUGUUUUUUCUAAAUUUCCGUUCCUGAUCAUGAUUCACUCUUGCUUACCUGAUGCCUCCAGGUGGAUUUCUAGAAGGCACUUCACACUUCUUAUGGCCAAAAGAGAACUUUUAAUUUUUUUGCCCCUCAAGCCUAUUUAUUUCUUUCCACCACCUCAACCACCCACCCAAUUGAUUUUUUUCUUUAUUCCUUGACCCCGAAUAAAGGAGUCUUUUAUUCCUUUUUGUUUUAAGUUUAAAUUCUAGCAUAAUAUUAGUUUCAGGUGUAUAACAGUGAUUCAACACGUCCCUACAACACCCGGGACUCGACACAGCAAGUGCACUCCUUGAUCCCCAUCACCUGUUUACCCAUCCCACCCACCCCCCCUCUAGCCCUUCUUCUUUUUCUACCUCCCCCAUCAGCUGGUCCAAAACCUAUUCCAAAUCUGACUCCUUUGCUCCUUCUCCACUGUCAUCACCCUGGGCCCAGGCACCUUCGUCUCUCACCUGGGCUCCACUUCCUUCCCUCUAGUCCACUGCUAUAUGGCAGCCAAAGGGCACACCAGGUCUCGUGGCUCCCCUGUUGGAAGCCAUCCAAGGACAUGGCCCUGUUCUUGCUUACCUCUCUGACCUUGUUCACUUCCCUCCAGUUACACUGGCCUCCAUGCUGCUCAGACACUUCAAACUCAUUCCUGACUUCGGGCCCACACAGGUCUUAUUUCCUCUGCCUGGAACACUCUGGCUCUAGACCUCUGCAUGCCUGGCAGACUCUUGACAUUCAGUUCUCAGUUCACAUGUCACUCUUGGAUGAGGCCUUCGCUCCCGCCAUUAUUCUGUCACAGUACCUACCCCCACCCUCUUUUAAAGCCCUGAAUAUGGUCAGAAAUUCUUAAUGAUUUGUUGGUUUUUGUCUGUCCUUUGCCCAGGAGUGCAAGGAUAUUCCCUUCCCCAGCACCUGGAAUAGUCCCCACUGCAUAGUGAUGCUCAAUAAAGAGUAGAUGAGGGACUGGGUGGGUGAACUGGAGUCACGGAGCCCUGAGUGGAGAAGCUCAGAUGAGAAGGCCUGGGGCAGGGUGCAAUGUUUGUUCUAGGGAUUCAGAGAAGGCUUCCUCUAGGAGCGGGCAUCUGAGUUGAGUGUUAAGGUGGCUAUGAAUUCGGAGAAGGUCGCAAGGGCAGCCCAAGAUGUAAGGGAAUGAGCAAGAGCAGACACACAGAGGCACCAUGGGUGGUGCAGGAAACUACUCCUUCCCAGACAGCCCAACUGCCAGUCGGAGGGUGGCGGGAGUGACCACUAGAGAGGUCAAUUGGGGCCAAGUCUCAGAAGGCCUGGGGUGCUAUGCUGAGGGGCCUGGACUUUCUCCUUCAAGGAGGGGCAGGCCUUGGAAGCUUGGUCAGAUUUUCAUUUCCACAGAUUCCUGUGGCUGCCCUGUGGCAAACAGAUGGAAGGCAGUGGUUUGCAAACUCUGUACAAUAAUAUCACUUGAGACCUUUUGGAACCUACAAAACCUGUGGGCUACACCAGACUAAUCCAGAAUUUCUGGGGAUGAGGCCCAGGCACUAGUGGUUGUUUGUAUUGUUUUUUCUUUAAAUCAACUUUCUACCGAAGCUAACAGGAGGAGCAGUGCAGAUCAUAAAUGAACAGCUGAUAAAUUGUGAUCAGAUGUACCCGUGUAACCGGCAUCCAGAUCAAGGUACGGGAUACUGCCAGCACUCCAGAGCUCCCCUCCCCUCCAAAGACCGUACAUUAAUUUGCUUGUUUUUGAAAUGUAUGGACAUAGUUGCGUGUCGUUGAACCUUAUUUAUUCGCUGUAAGGUAUUCCAUUGCAUGAAUGUGCCACAUUUUGAUUAUCCAUUCUAUUGGUGGACAUGGGGGGAGCUUCCUGCCUGGGGAUUAUGAACGGUGCUGCUGUGACUUUUCAGGUGAGCCCACGUGUACCUUUCUGUUGGGGAUCUACAUGGGGGUGGGGUCGCUGGGUCACAGGGAAUCCAAAUGCUCAGCCUUAGUGGAUAUGCCAAACUGGCUGCCAGUGUGAAAAUCUCCCAGAUUAUUCUAACCUCUGGCCACAGCUGAGCUUUGCUGUUCUAACGGGGGUAAGCCCAGACACAGGGGCACCGGUUAGGAGGCUCACGUGGUCACCCGGCCCCUGGGCAGAUGCAAAUGUUAGCGGACAGCAAGAUUUCUAGUGAAGAGGGAGCAGGCAUCAGAAAAAAGAAGGAAAAACUGCUUGUAGGAAGAAAAAAAAAGGAAAACGGCCUCACGCUGCUGGUGCUUUUGGUGUUGGCUUUGCAAAGGUCGCUGGAGAAGGAGGCAUAAUCUGUUGCGAGAGGAGAGGCAGAAGAUGAAAUAGUGUAAAGUGUGUUUGUGGCCACAGUAGAGUGCCUGGCAAGCGUCAGCCAAAGCCUGCAGACACUAUGUCAUAGGACUGUCAUUGUGAGACAUGAAUUCACUGGUUAUAUAUGUGCUGAUCCAGUUGGGAGCGGGGAGGCCGGGUGAUGCUGUGGCCAGGGCACUAGGAGAUAGAUUAGACAUGGUCUAAUCUCGGCUUGGCCACGACCAGGCUGUGCGAUCCUGGGCAAAAUGCUUCGUAUCCCUGUAGUCUAGUUAGAGCAUUCUGGCUAGAUGAACUGUUAAGAUCUUUUCUGGUUCUAAUGGACUAUUACAUAUGUCACUCUAGAGGUGACAGCAGAAGAUCUGAAAAGUUGGCACGAUGUAAUAACUUUAUAUCUGAGAUGGUUUUGGAUGAGAACACUGGACUGUAUAAUUCCCUAAAUUAUCUAGCACAGGGUAAGAUACUCUCAGAUGAUUUCAGUCUUUAGUUUUUUAAAAUUAGGGAUAUGGCCAGGACACUGGUGGCUGGGAGCCCCAGACAGUCUUGUAAUGUUACUAAUAUGGCAGCAUUCACCUUUUGUUUUCAUAUCUAAUCCCCUCCCACUUGCCUUUAUGUAUAAAAGCCUCUCACCUGGGGGUACCUGGGUUCCUCAGUCAGUUGAGUAUCUGACUCUUGAUUUCUGCUCAGGUCAUGAUCUCACGGUUUGUGAGAUUGAGCCCCGCGUCGGGCUCUGUGCUGACAGCAUGGAGCCCACUUAGGACUCUCUCUCUCUCUUCCCCUCCCCUGCUCAUGCCCUCUCAAAAAUAAACAUUAAAAACAAAUCCUGUGGCUUUCCCCUGAGCUCUCAGGGGGAUACAUGGGACUGUGCACAGAUACCCACUCUUUGGAGGGGAUGUAAAAGGAAUGAGGUCAUGGGACUCAGCCGUGAAGGAGAACUGGACUUCAAAACCGCUCUCAGGAAUUAUGUUGUGCAAACUUUGAUUAAAAAGAUUACCGUGGAGGUUGGGUAGGAGGGAGCGCAAGGAUGUUUUGACUGUAAUUCCAACUCCUGGGCUGAUAGACUGUGACGAAACCUUUAGCAGGGGGCAGAUUAUGGUGUCAACAGCAGGAAACAAAGGGAGAGGAAGGCUGAGCCUGAUUAAGUAGGCCAAGGAUGGAACGUGCUGGCAUGCUGCUCAGGGGACGGCAGUGCUGGGCUUGCUGGCUAAGGAGGCAGGUGUGGGAAUAUUCGCGCCAGGGAAUGCCGGCAGAGCCCCGGCCAGCCCCAACUGCAGUAAAAGUGGGAGUGUGGAUGUGUUUAGUCACCAUGGGAGAAACGGGAGAAUGCAGGUUGGGGUGGGGAUUGGGUUACCCGCUGAGCCAAGAUCAAAAGAAGCCACUGGGUUGGAAAGGCAUUUCAUUUGCUCUGCGCCACAGGCUACAGCUAUUGUGGUGACCGGUCCAGCUCUGUGCCGACACAGCUGAUUGUAGAGGAGUGGCCAGCCAUCAGAGGCAAGGCCCGGUGACCCUGUGGCCCCUCGGCUAUAUGUUCAUUUCCUAAGGUCCCCAUUAGCCCCAUCAGAAAGGACUGGAGAGACAGGCUGGGUGGCUCUUUUCUUUGUGAUGUUCCAGAAAACGAUAACUGGGAAUGUGUUGAGACUGGAGUCCUGGGGGCUGGCAUUUAUUGGAUGCUAACGAUUGUGUUUGGUGCUGCACACACGUUACCCUCAACAAGGUCACACGGUAAGGGGCUGAAGCUGCUAUUUUCAUCCUGUUUAUCUGGUUACAAAAUUAAUCCCCCCCCCCCCCCCGCCAGCACUGGGAAAUUGCUAAAAUAAUGGAAUCUGUCAGGACAAAUAAGGUAUGCCGCCAUUCUGAGCUUUGCGGAGAAAGGGGCUCCUUCCAUCAGUAGGUCUUUGUUUUGGACAAUGGUCAACAUCCUUGGGCUGCCUCCUUUGACACACAGCCCACUAGGUGCUCGGCCACUCACCAUGUUGUUCCAGAGCGCGAUGGCCAUCUCCGCGUGACCACGUUCUGAGAAGUGGAAACAGUCCUCGGAGAAGAAGGUGAGGUCAGCGCCCCCUCUCUGUGACCAAAGGCAAAGGGAUUACCUUUCUGGGAAAAAGGUGCAGCUACCCACCCUUGCGGGCACCCUGGGCAUCUUCCCUUUCAAUUCUGCCAGUUGUCUCGGAUACUGAUGGACAAACUCCCCAGUUUUGGAACGUUUUAAAAGACCUAAAUUCUAGCCACCCCCAGUCCAUCCCUUUUCCUUUGGCAUCCCUGCCCUAAUAGUUGAAAAAAAAAAAAAAAUAGGAAGCUUUCCCUUCUAUCCCAAUCUAGCAAAUACCAGGGCCAUGCCUGGGGAGCUUGGUCACUGCUGACAUUCUCCCUUUCCUUCCAAGCACAUCCAGGUUCCAUUCAGACCAAAAGAAAAGGUAAACAGAAAAAGCAACUCCCUAGGAGCCCUCUUAGAAGUACAUGGUCAGAAAAAGCUCAGGUACAGAAGGAAGUAUAUCGCCUAAGAAUAGUCUCCCAGAAUUGCCCGUGGCUUACGCUGUUCAGGGGGACAAGAGUGUUCUGGAAGAAAGGCUGCACGACCACUGCGAAAUCUUCACGCUGCAGAGAAUUCUCCUGGGAACGUGUGAGGCAAGUGCAGUUGCUCCUGGGAGAGAAGGGGUCCUGUGGAGAGGUGCCUGGGUGGCUGACCCCCUCCCCCCACCAAGGGAAGAAGGCCUGGACCCUGUAUUGCCUUGCAUGGGAAGAUGGUCCCGGGCCUGCGUCGGCAUGUCCCUAGAUGGGGAAGAGAAGGGAACCUUAGAGCCAGCUGGGAAGCAAAGGCUCAAGCCGUGGGAUCCUGGCUUGGUGAGACAGGUGCUCCAAGAAGAGAAAUGUUAUAUAAACUUGACUCCUUCAGAGUGUAUCCAAAGGCUUUCGAUUCUCAAGAAACCUCAACCUAGUACAAAUCAAAGAUGUGCCCCAGACCUCAGAGCCACAUGGAUCCGGACCCUGCCAGGGGCUAGCCUGGGUCCACCCACCGCCUCCUUCAGGCCUGGUCCUCCCUGGCCCCUGGCGGGGGGGGGGGGGGGGGGGGGGGGGGGGGGGAGGAAUCUGGAUCUGAUCAUCCCUUUCCCAUAGAGAUGGUCCCUUACAUUCCACUGGGCUCUUUCACAGCGAGCUGAGCCUGUUCAGAUCUUACUUGGCUGCCUGUUUUAAAAAUAACCUCUUGUAUAUUUGAAAAAAGUCACAGCCUUAAAUUAUCCCUCUGCUUUCUCCUUUUCAAGCGUCAUGACUCCUUAACCUUCACUUCUAAAUCCCGCUUUCUAUUCCUUUAAUCCUUUUUUCUUCUCUGUUGUUGCUUUGGACUUCCAUACCAUCCCCUUGCUUUUUCCCUCUCCCAGUGCAAAAAGGAUUGCAGGGGUGGGGGGGUGGGCAGGGAGACAAAUCCGGAGUGGGUUACUUUCUCCCUUCCUCCCCCCGAUGUCUGCCACGAAUAAGGAAAAUGAACACUCUGGGUACGAGCUGAGCAUGUGGUUGGAACAGUACCCAGCAAUAAGGAGGAGAGGACUGUGGACAGGCACGACGUGCAUGCAUCUCAAAACGACGGCGGAUGGAAGUUAGACAAGAGUACCUCGUGUCAGAUUCCAUUCAUAUAACAUUCCAGAAAAUGAAAACUGAUCUACAGUGACAGAAAGCAGGACAGAGGCUAUCUGGGGCCCAGAGAGUGCGGUAGAGAUCGGGAGGGAGAGCUGGAUUACAAAGGGCACAGGGAAACCUCGGGGUGUGAUGGGUGUUUAUAAUCUGGAUUGCAGUGAUGACUUCACAGCUAUGCACAUACGCCAGCCAUGCUUAUC